GUGCUCACUUCAGCAGCAUAUACAUACUAAAUGUGGCAUCAUACAGAGAUCAGCAUGGCCCCUGCACAAAGAUGACAGGCAAAUUUGUGAAACAUUCCACAUUAAA
rnacentral:snRNA from 1 species